AAACUCCGUCGACUUUAGAAUAUCGUGAGGGUUCAAGUCCCUCUAUCCCC
rnacentral:tRNA from 1 species